GGCUGCGUGGCCUCGGCCCACUUGCUGAACUCUUCUUGUGGCCAGAACUGUGGCUCUCCUUUCACCUCACGCCCUCAGAUCAAUGGCUGUCGGUGGCCAUUCAUUCAGAACUCCCUCAAUAAGAGUAUUUUGUGAAAAAGCCAGCAGAGCCAGCUGCUUGGACCCAGGGGUCCUUGGUUGUUCCCAGGGCCCAGGUCAUGCCCUGUAAGAGUGGAGCUUAUGAAGUUACCCACACACCUAUCUCCAGAGACUCUCAUUUCCAACCUGCUUGGGACCCAAGAAGGCUCAGUUGUUCAGAUCUAAAAACGCAUUACAUAAUUUUCCUCUCCGUUCAUUCUUCUAUAUGAUAGCGGGGAGAAAAUCC
rnacentral:lncRNA from 1 species